rnacentral:rRNA from 1 species
UACAGAGGUCCCAAGCGUUGUUCGGAUUUACUGGGCGUAAAGGGCGCGUAGGCGGCCUGUGCAAGUCAGUUGUGAAAUCUCCGGGCUUAACUCGGAACGGUCAACUGAUACUGCUCGGCUAGAGUGCGGAAGGGGCAACUGGAAUUCUUGGUGUAGCGGUGAAAUGCGUAGAUAUCAAGAGGAACACCUGCGGCGAAGGCGGGUUGCUGGGCCGACACUGACGCUGAUGCGCGAAAGCUAGGGGAGCGAACGGG